UACGGGGGGGGCAAGCGUUGUUCGGAAUUACUGGGCGUAAAGGGCUCGUAGGCGGCCAACUAAGUCAGACGUGAAAUCCCUCGGCUUAACCGGGGAACUGCGUCUGAUACUGGAUGGCUUGAGGUUGGGAGAGGGAUGCGGAAUUCCAGGUGUAGCGGUGAAAUGCGUAGAUAUCAGGAGGAACACCGGUGGCGAAGGCGCCUAUCUGGCCCGAUACUGACGCUGAGGCGCGAAAGCUAGGGGAGCAAACGGG
rnacentral:rRNA from 1 species